UCUUCAUUUCGAGUACUCUCUCACCGGGCAGAGUGACGAGAGAGCAAUCGAAAUGAGGAGA
rnacentral:pre_miRNA from 1 species